AGUGAACGCUGGCGGUAGGCCUAACACAUGCAAGUCGAACGGCAGCACAGUAAGAGCUUGCUCUUACGGGUGGCGAGUGGCGGACGGGUGAGGAAUACAUCGGACUCUACUUUUUCGUGGGGGAUAACGUAGGGAAACUUACGCUAAUACCGCAUACGACCUACGGGUGAAAGCAGGGGAUCUUCGGACCUUGCGCGAUUGAAUGAGCCGAUGUCGGAUUAGCUAGUUGGCGGGGUAAAGGCCCACCAAGGCGACGAUCCGUAGCUGGUCUGAGAGGAUGAUCAGCCACACUAGAACUGAGACACGGUCCAGACUCCUACGGGAGGCAGCAGUGGGGAAUAUUGGACAAUGGGCGCAAGCCUGAUCCAGCCAUACCGCGUGGGUGAAGAAGGCCUUCGGGUUGUAAAGCCCUUUUGUUGGGAAAGAAAAGCAGCAGGUUAAUACCCCGCUGUUCUGACGGUACCCAAAGAAUAAGCACCGGCUAACUUCGUG
rnacentral:rRNA from 1 species